AGGAGAGGGAGAGAGGGAGAGGGAGAGGAGAGGAGAGGAGAGGGAGAGGAGAGGAGAGAGGAGAGGACGUUUUGGGAAGGAAACACAUAGAAGGAAAAAAAUAAUUGAAGGAAGAGAGACAGGAAAGUGAACAAAGAGAAAACAAGGACAGGAUACGAAAGAGGGAGAGAAUAAAAUGACAGGAAAUAGAAAGAGGAGAGGAGGACAUUCAUAAAGGAGAGGAGCCAAAUGAACAGCCGAGAGGAAAUGAAGUAAGGAGAGACAGAAAAGAUGAAGACAGAACAGACGAUGAGAGGAAAGGAAAUGAAAGGAGAUGACAAGAUGAAGAAAAAGGUUGGUGUUUUACCUGGAGACUCCGCGGGUCGUUCGUCGGACUGAUGGAGUAACGGGACAGUUUGGGUCCGUCGGUGUCCGGACGCUCGUAGAAGAUCAGCUGACCUGAUCCGUUCUAACAAACAGCCGCGGCGCUGAUCUGAGAACAGCCGGAAAUCGCGGAGGAUGCUGGGAGGCCCGAGAGGAAACUGACCGCAGAUCAGCUGUGACACACGUUGCUCCGCCUCCUCCUGACCCUACUUCCUGUUGAUGCUGCGAGGCUGUUAGUGAUGCGUCACCACCACCUGCUGGUCUGGAGGACUGGAGGAAACUCAUUUAAUCUCUGUGCAGUUAGUGGAGCUAAGAAUCAUUAGAAGAUUAAAGAUUAUCAAUAAGUUCAUCAAAUUGUAUUAUUAUUAUCUGAGCUAUGAGCUUUGUCCUCUGGUUUGGACACAAUGUAAAUUUCUAUCUGACUCAAUAUUAUUGUUUUCAUUUUGUUAUUCGCUGUCAUUGUGUUGUUUCCUUUCGUAGUUUUAAAAAGUGCGACCAAAAUAAAACAAGUGAUGAAAUGCU